rnacentral:rRNA from 1 species
UACGGGGGGGAGCAAGCGUUGUUCGGAUUUACUGGGCGUAAAGGGCGCGUAGGCGGUCAGCACAAGUCAGUUGUGAAAUCUCCGGGCUUAACUCGGAAAGGUCAACUGAUACUGUGCGACUAGAUGCAGAAGGGGCAACUGGAAUUCCCGGUGUAGUGGUGAAAUGCGUAGAUAUCGGGAGGAACACCAGUGGCGAAGGCGACUUCCUGGCCUGUUCUUGACGCUGAGGCGCGAAAGCUAGGGGAGCAAACGGGG